rnacentral:lncRNA from 1 species
UGGGAGCCUUCCCUGUCAACAUUGCGUGAGGUGUUUUGGCAACCUUCUUCGUAGGAACUAAGUUAAUGAUAUGGGCGGCAGUCUCUAAGGCAUACCCCUAGAAAUGAGAUAGUUAGUGAAGCACGACUCAUCAUGGAACAAACCAUGGCCAACAAGGUUCGCUUACGCCUCUCAGCCACAACGUUCAACUGCGGUGUCCUACUUGGUGCCAAUUCCGAAACUAUUCGACAUUCCUUGAGGUAGUCGUGGAAUUGAAGACUUAGGUACUCUCCUCCUCAAUCGGAUCGAAGCAUCUUGAUUUUCCUGCCCAAAUGAUUCUCCACUUCUUGUUUAAACUCUUUGAACUUUUCAAAGGUUUAUGACUUGUGCUUGAUUAAGUAGAUAUAUCCAUAUCUACUAUAAUCAUCUGUAAAAGUCACGUAGAAGCGGUUCGCAUCCCUUGUGGUGGAUCUAAAGGGCCCACACACAUCGGUGUGUAUGAGAUCCAAUAUUAAGCAAAUAAUAUGAUUUCUCGUUUAAUAUAUCAUUCUUAUAAUAUAUUAAUAAACCAUAAUAUAUUCUCUCUCUUCAUAUAUUACCCUGUCAAGUUGCUAUGGUGAAGGCAACCCAAAAGGACCAUGCACAACCGGUUCAAGUACUUACCAAAUAUUGUUACGCCUUAGACACUGAUCCAACAGUCUCUCACUUGGAUAAGUCUAGUAACUAUAAUGUAAGCAUGUUCCGAUUAGCAAUCGUAGCUCUCAAAGACGCUGUCAAACUCAGAUCUUAUCAGCAACCUGUCCUUUAGAUAAGGGAUCGUAUAGUCUUCUGUUCUAGAUAUCAUGUGGACAAUUACAUGGAACAUAGUCAUACUUAUUGUCCAGCAGUUUGUUUCUCAAUCUCAGGUUCAUUUGACAUAGAACUUAAUUGAACACAUCAAUUCAGUCCUGACCGGGCCCGACACAUAAGUCAAAUCAAAUCAUCGAGGGGCCCUGAUAUCGCUUUUACCCUCUUAGGAUAAAAGUNCCCUACUCAGCCCUUCGUAAGUGGAUCUGCUGGGUUAUCCUUUGACGAUACCCUCUUCACUACGAGGAGUCCUUCUUCUACCCGAUGUCGAAUAAAGUGAUAUUUUCUGUCGAUAUGUCGAGAUCUACCAUGAUCCCACGGUUCCUUGGUCAAGGCAACCGCUCCUUCAUUAUCAAAUUUUUUUUCCAUGGGCUCAUUUUUGGUAGGCACAACUCCAAGGUCUCCAAUGAAGUUCUUCAACCAUAUCGCGUCCUUUGACGCUUCGGUCACUACAAUGUACUCCAAUUCACACAUUGAAUCAGCUACUGUCUCUUGCUUGGAACUUUUUCCAAGUCACUACUCCUCCAUUAAAGGUAAAGACCCAGCCCGACUGCGAAUAGUUGUUGUCUCUGUCGUUCUGAAAACGGCGUCACUGUACCCUCGCACCUUGAAGUCAUCACUCCCGCCGAGGACUUGAAACCAUUCCUUGGUCCUCCGAAGGUACUUAAGAAUGUUCUUGACUGGUGUGCAAUGUGCUAUGCCAGGGUUCCCUUGAUAUCUGCUGACCGUGCUCAAAGCGAAGGCCGCAUUAGGGCGAGUACAAGUCAUAGCAUACAUAAACGAGCCAACUGCGGAAGCGUAUGGUACUCGGCUUAUUUCUGCUAUCUCGACUUCAGUACUCGGGCAUUGAGUCUUACUCAACUUGGCAUUAAUUUAGAUCGGUAACUCUGCCUUCUUUGAAUUCUCCAUACUAAAACGUUUUAGCACCUUGUCCAAGUAAGUAAUCUGACUAAGUCCUAUAAGUCUCUUACUUCUAUCUCUCACUAUCCUUAUUCCCAAAAUAUAGGAAGCCUUUCCGAGGUCCUUCAUAGUGAAGCACUUCCCGACCCAGGACUUAACCUCCUGAAGUGUCGGGAUGUUGUUUCUUAUGAGCAGUAUGUCAUCGACAUAGAAUACGAGGAAGCUAACUAUACUCCCACUGGAUUUGACAUAUACACAUGAUUCAUAUUCGCUUCGUACAAACCCAAAGACUUUGACUUUCUCAUCGAAGCAAAGGUUCCAUCUGCGAGAUGCUUGCUUAAGUCCAUAAAUGGACUUCUCAAGAUUGCACACUCUAUUGGGAUGCUUCGCAUUGACAAAACCUUCUGGCUGAGCCAUGUAAACAUCCUUAGCCAAUUUCCCAUUAAGGAAAGUGGUUUUGACAUCCAUUUUCCAUAUUUCAUAAUCAUGAAANGGCCAACAUCACCCUAAUAGACUUUAUUUUAGCUACUGGCGAGAAGGUUUCAUCAUAGUCAACUUCGGGAGUUUGAAUGAAACCCUUCGCAACCAAUCGCGCCUUAUAUGUGUGCACAUUCCCAUCCACAUCGGUCUUCUUCUUGAAGAUCCACUUGCAACCGACCGUCUUAUAUCCGGGUACAUGGUCAACCGAAUUCCAAACUAGGUUGUUGCACAUGGACUGAAUCUCGCUUUCCAUUGCCUCUUUCCAUUUUGCAGACUUCAGGCCUGCCAUGGCUUCCUUAUAGUUGUUAGGUUCGUCCAGAUUCACUAGUGUACUGUCACUAAUGAACGUAUCCCCUUCGGUAGUAAUAUGAAAACCAUAAAACUAGGGUUGAAUCCUAACUGUAGCGGAACGUCUAACAGGUAAGGACUUGUCAAUCGGUUCAACCGGAGUUUCCUCCUCGGGUUNCUCUUAUAUCCUCUUAGAUAAAAGGAACAUAUAAACUUCGACUUAUAUGCAUUUACUAUUCAAUAAUCAAAUUAUACACAACAAUGCGUUUUAUGACAUCAAGUUACUGAUGGGUUUUCGCAUUAUCAAUGCACAACCAAUCAGCAAACAAUAAACCAUAUAUCUAG